GCGGAGUGCACGAGAGGGAAACAGGCACCUAAAGAAACAAAAACGACUCUCGGCAACGGAUAUCUCGGCUCUCGCAUCGAUGAAGAACGUAGCGAACUGCGAUACUUGGUGUGAAUUGCAGAAUCCCGUGAACCAUCGAGUCUUUGAACGCAAGUUGCGCCCGAA
rnacentral:rRNA from 1 species